rnacentral:rRNA from 1 species
UACGUAGGUGGCAAGCGUUGUCCGGAUUUACUGGGCGUAAAGAGCGCGCAGGCGGUCGUUCAAGUCGCGUGUGAAAGCCCCCGGCUCAACUGGGGAGGGUCACGCGAUACUGAUCGACUCGAAGGCAGGAGAGGGUAGUGGAAUUCCCGGUGUAGUGGUGAAAUGUGUAGAUAUCGGGAGGAACACCAGUGGCGAAGGCGACUACCUGGCCUGUUCUUGACGCUGAGGCGCGAAAGCUAGGGGAGCAAACGGG